rnacentral:RNase_P_RNA from 1 species
GCGGAUGGCUGGAUGACUGCGUGAAAGCGAGGAAAGUCCGGACUCCAGGAAGGCAUGGCGCCGGUUAAGGACCGGCCGGGGUAACCCGAGGGAAAGCGCCACAGAAAAUAAACCGCUUGGUUCGCCAAGUAAGGGUGAAACGGUGGGGUAAGAGCCCACCGCCUUGGGGGUAACCUUGAGGGCACGGCAAGCCCCGCCAGGAGCAAAGCCAAAUAGGGGUCUCGCGAGGUUCACCUCGGGUGCUUCCACCCAGAGACCCGGGUUGGCUGCUAGAGCGUAUUGGUAACAAUGCGCGCAGAUGAAUGGUCAUCGACGGGCAUAGCGCCCUGAACAAAAUCCGGCUUAUAGGCCAUCCGCAUAC